GAUGAAGAACGUAGCGAAAUGCGAUAAGUAAUGUGAAUUGCAGAAUUCAGUGAAUCAUCGAAUCUUUGAACGCACAUUGCGCCCGCUAGUAUUCUGGCGGGCAUGCCUGUCCGAGCGUCAUUUCAACCCUCAAGCCCCCGGGCUUGGUGUUGGGGAUCGGCGAGCCUCCGCGCCCGCCGUCCCCAAAUCUAGUGGCGGUCUCGCUGUAGCUUCCUCUGCGUAGUAGCACACCUCGCACUGGGAAACAGCGCGGCCACGCCGUUAAACCCCCAACUUCUGAACGUUUGACCUCGGAUCAGGUAGGAAUACCCGCUGAACUUAAGCAUAUCAAUAAGCGGAGGA
rnacentral:misc_RNA from 1 species